CUCAUUAAUCGACCUAAUUCAAAAAUACUGAAACCCCAGCCCAAUCUUCUCUUUAGAAUGACUCAUCGUACAAUACACACAACAACAUCGGUAAACAACUGCAUACAGCAGUACAAAUGUGAUCCAUAUACGUCGUCUUCCUCGCGAAGAACAGCGCGUGACCGGUCGUAUCAAUCCGGUAAUUUCAAAAAAAAAAGUUGUGUCCUCUUCUCUCUCUCCUUAUCCUCUCAUACAAGAGCCGUUUGAGAUUCGUAACGUGUCGAAAUGUUGUAGCGUCAUUGUCCUUGCUGAAAAUUGAACGACCCUCUUUUGAAUUCGUUGAAAAUGGUACAAGUUGGUACUGUUGACAGCUUUCAAUGUGAUCCUUUCUGAGAAACAUCUGAAUUUCGAAUUCAAAUUCAUCCUUAAAGUAGAAUUGUGGGAAAAGAGAUAGAAAAGAGAAAGGAAGAGAGUUCUACCAUUAGGAACGGAAUUACAAGUUAAAAAAAAGAGUAGGAUUUCGGGAAAUAGUAUUUUGUAGCUAGAGAAUCUGGUUAGCUGUUCGGUUAUGUCGAAAUCCAUCGUGUGGUGGUGAAAGCUUCAUGGUCAAGCUCGUCGAGUCCCGGAACGCUGCUCCAAAAGGUUCUUUUUGGACUCUAUCCCUGCAUUUUGUUGAGUUGAGAUUCUUAUUGAGUUGAACUUCAUCAUUGUUCAUGUUUUGGAAGCUGAAACAGACCUUGAAAAGUUAAAGAAUAGGUUGUAUACAUGUUCUAUACAAUCGUAUAAAACUAUAUACUAGCCGAGGUGCUGAAAUAUAGAUCCAGACUGCGGAUAUACAAGUCGAAGAGAAGAAAUGCAGGUGUCGUGAGUUAAAAAGAGAAGAAAUUCAGGUUCGAGAGUUAAAAAUGGAAUUAUAUACACUAAUAUUCGGACAUUAUACAAUUUAUAUACAAAAAGCAGAAAUGGGCCCAAAAGCCCCAAAGUAUUUAGGCAGAAUUUUGGAAGAUAAUUGGGCCAAAGCUCAUCUGAUUUUUGGGAAGCUUAGUUUAGGACAGGGAAUGGGGCCAAGGCUCAAAUCUCACCCCCUCACUCUCUCUAAUGAAAUUAUUAAGGGGAAAGGGAAUUUGUCUUACUCUUACUUGCUUAUUUGCUAAUUAAUCUUAAAGUUAGCUUAAUAAAUUCCCUAAAAGAUGAACCAUAUCCUGUAUGUUGAUAUGUUUUAACAUAAUUCUUUUUUUUA